rnacentral:piRNA from 1 species
UACCAAUUGAGCUAUAUCCCAACCUCCA